rnacentral:misc_RNA from 1 species
AACGCACGAGACCUGCGGACCUGCGGAGGGAUCAUUACCGAGUUAUCCAACUCCCAACCCCUGUGAAUUAUACCUUUAAUUGUUGCUUCGGCGGGACUUCGCGCCCGCCGGGGACCCAAACCUUCUGAAUUUUUUAAUAAGUAUCUUCUGAGUGGUUAAAAAAAUGAGUCAAAACUUUCAACAAUGGAUCUCU